AUUGAACGCUGGCGGCAUGCCUUACACAUGCAAGUCGAACGGUAACAGGUCUUCGGAUGCUGACGAGUGGCGAACGGGUGAGUAAUACAUCGGAACGUGCCCGAUCGUGGGGGAUAACGCAGCGAAAGCUGUGCUAAUACCGCAUACGAUCUACGGAUGAAAGCGGGGGAUCGCAAGACCUCGCGCGGACGGAGCGGCCGAUGGCAGAUUAGGUAGUUGGUGGGAUAAAAGCUUACCAAGCCGACGAUCUGUAGCUGGUCUGAGAGGACGACCAGCCACACUGGGACUGAGACACGGCCCAGACUCCUACGGGAGGCAGCAGUGGGGAAUUUUGGACAAUGGGCGCAAGCCUGAUCCAGCCAUGCCGCGUGCAGGAUGAAGGCCUUCGGGUUGUAAACUGCUUUUGUACGGAACGAAAAAGACUCUCUCUAAUACAGGGGUGAAUGACGGUACCGUAAGAAUAAGCACCGGCUAACUACGUGCCAGCAG
rnacentral:rRNA from 1 species